GCCCACCUAGCUCAGUCGGCAGAGCGCGUCCUUGGUAAGGACGAGGUCUCGGGUUCGAAUCCCGAGGUGGGCU
rnacentral:tRNA from 1 species